rnacentral:rRNA from 1 species
UACGGAGGGCGCAAGCGUUGUUCGGAAUCACUGGGCAUAAAGAGCACGUAGGCGGUCUGCUAAGUCAAAUGUGAAAGCCCCCGGCUCAACCGGGGAACAGCAUUCGAUACUGGCAGGCUAGAGGAAGGCAGGGGUGAGUGGAACUCCAGGUGGAACGGUGAAAUGUGUAGAUAUCUGGAGGAACACCGGUGGCGAAAGCGGCUCACUGGGCCUUUCCUGACGCUAAGGUGCGAAAGCUAGGGUAGCAAACGGG